CAGAGGGUGACAACAAAUAUUUGGGACUAGGAUUGCUCAUUUUUAUCUAUUUCUUUGCUCACCUGGGAGUUGGAUUAGUGCACGUAAAUGACUGUCCGAGGCAGCCCUUCAUCCCCUUUUAUUUGUGUGGAUUUGGGGCCUUGUUCCUGUUGAUAUUGUUCUGCUUGGCCGCCUACAGCAACAUGAGC